GAAGUAAAAGUCGUAACAAGGUCUCCGUAGGUGAACCUGCGGAGGGAUCAUUACUGAGUGAGGGAGCAAUCCCGACCUCCAACCCUUUGUGAACGCAUCAUGUUGCUUCGGGGGCGACCCUGCCGCGCAAGCGGCAUUCCCCCCGGAGGUCAUUCAAACACUGCAUUCUCACGUCGGAGUAAAAAGUUAAUUUAAUAAAACUUUCAACAACGGAUCUCUUGGUUCAGGCAUCGAUGAAGAACGCAGCGAAAUGCGAUAAGUAAUGUGAAUUGCAGAAUUCAGUGAAUCAUCGAAUCUUUGAGCGCACAUUGCGCCCCCUGGUAUUCCGGGGGGCAUGCCUGUUCGAGCGUCAUUUCACCACUCAAGCCUCGCUUGGUAUUGGGCGUCGCGAGUCUCUCGCGCGCCUCAAAGUCUCCGGCUGAGCGGUUCGUCUCCCAGCGUUGUGGCAACUAUUCGCAGAGGAGUUCGAGUCGUCGCGGCCGUUAAAUCUUUCAAAGGUCGACCUCGGAUCAGGUAGGGAUACCCGCUGAACUUAAGCAUAUCAAUAAGCGGAGGA
rnacentral:rRNA from 1 species